CCUCCUCCACGUGGCUAAAGCAGCCUCAGGUCCGCUCACGGUGUUCCCGUGGCACAUUCCCUGUGGGACGGAACUGCCGGACACUGGCUUGUAGAUUGGUUGAGUAAAUAAAGCCAGCUCGCCACAAUCACGAUCACAGGCACUCUGCUGAUAACCCCCUUCUGCAACUGAAGAAGCUCAACAAAUAGAAAACGAGGAGCAGAAAGGACACUGACUAUUGGACGGAAGAAGCAUUCAACAGCUCCUUUCAAACACGAAUUUCAAAACCUCCUCAGUGAGAACAGAUUGCUGUCAGUAGCUGAAGACAGUACGCUAAUGGCCAAGUCAAUAUGAAAUUUGUCCGGAAGAUGGGAAUUUUCAGCACUUUCAGAAGGAUGAAAAC